CCAGACUCAGAACACCGAAACCGUAGGCACACACAAGAAUUGAGAUUGAGGAAGAGAAAUCUAAGUGCCAUUAACUCCAUUCAGGCCAUUUACCUGCCAUCAUCAGAUCGUCGAAACUGCCACCGAUCAAGCAUAGAUUGUUUCAUUAGCUUCGAAAUUCCUAUCCACAAUCCAUCUUUUCUGAAUAGCAAAGAGUAGAUGAGAGAAUCAAAAGCGUGUCCAACAAAAGUUACUAGAAGAUCUAGGAAGCAAAAAACUCAUUCCAAGUUCGCUGUAUUGGACAAGGGAACUGAAAUCUGUUAUAAUUUAAAAGAGAUCAGUGACUCAAAUAUGUUGGCGCCACACCAAAUCCGAGAUAAGGUUCUGAAGGAUGGCUAGAAGAAGAACGAGAAGACUAUA